rnacentral:lncRNA from 13 species
CUUGACCAUGGAAAAAAGUAGUGGGAAGCUUCCGUUAAAAUCAAUGUGGUGCCCAAGAAAUGAGAAGAAAGAACAAAGGCCAAGUCCAUUGGUCAAUUUGUACAAAAUAACUUGAGGCCUGGCCAGGUGUCCAUCCAGUUGAAUCAUCUGUCAUGUGGUUUCCAGGUAAAAUGCACUCAUUUGCCAGAGAUUGGAUGAUUAACAUGACCUUGUGAUCAAAAAGUAAAGAAUGUAUCGUUGUGUUUUUACACUGAGAAACUUGGAAAGCUGGGAUUUUCUGUUUAUUUUCUCUUUCCCUGCUUCGUCAACAUGAUCUGGUAAGUAUAAUAUAAUGAACUCUCAUUACACUUAAA